GCCUCAGCCUCCCAAGUGUAGCUGGGACUACAGGCACACGCCACCAUGCCCAGCUCAUUUUUUUUUUAAUGUAGAGAUAAGAGUCUCACUAUGUUGCCCAGGUUGAUCUCAAACUCCUGGUCUCAAGAGAUCCUCCCACCUCGGCCUCCCAGAGUCAGAACCCAGAUCCUGGAGCUCUUCUUUUCUUCAUCUAUACCACUGCUUCCUUGAUAAGAGAUCAAGAUAUACAAAUUAGUCUUUGAAAGAUCUUUCACCUUGUUCAAAGUUAAGAUCCUGUGAACACCAGAAUUGUUCCGUGGCCUCUUCACUAUUGAUUGCAACAGUAUCAUUUACCUGAAACUACACAGUGACCACAAAAACCAUGUCCAGGACACCAAAUUUCUACUGCGAACUCUAGGUCCUCACGAGCCUUUCUCUGCGAGUCCAAAAUUCAGCCACAUUUCCUAAGAGGCACCUGUACUUGUCUAUUUCAAUGCAGCCAGAAGCUGACAACGGCCCAGGAACCAGGACUGCUUUCAGGAGGCGCUCAGAAGGGCAGCAAAGUACCCUCUCAACAUUAGUAAAAUGAAACAAAAGUGUCA